rfam:Sphaerobolus stellatus SS14 unplaced genomic scaffold SPHSTscaffold_51, whole genome shotgun sequence.
UCUUGGGUAGUAUAGUGGUUAGUAUUCGCGUCUGUCAAGGGGUUCAACUCUACAACGCGCGAGACCAGGGUUCAAUUCUCUGCCUGAGAG